UGGGUUCGUAGCUCAGUGGUAGAGCACUCCGCUUUUAACGGACUGGUCAUGGGUUCAAAUCCCAUCGGACCCAA
rnacentral:tRNA from 1 species